rnacentral:rRNA from 1 species
AAUCUGCCUCCGAGUGGUGGAUAACCUUCCGAAAGGAGGGCUAAUACAGCAUAAGACCACGGGUCCGAAAGGGCUUGAGGUCAAAGCCGGCCAAUCCAUGGAAGCUGGCGCUUGGAGAUGAGCCUGCGGCCCAUCAGCUAGUUGGUAGGGUAAUGGCCUACCAAGGCGAAGACGGGUAGCUGGUCUGAGAGGAUGAUCAGCCACACUGGAACUGAGACACGGUCCAGACUCCUACGGGAGGCAGCAGUGGGGAAUCUUGCGCAAUGGGCGAAAGCCUGACGCAGCGACGCCGCGUGGGU